GAUGAACGCUGGCGGCGUGCCUAAUACAUGCAAGUCGAGCGAACGGACGAGAAGCUUGCUUCUCUGAUGUUAGCGGCGGACGGGUGAGUAACACGUGGAUAACCUACCUAUAAGACUGGGAUAACUUCGGGAAACCGUAGCUAAUACCGGAUAAUAUUUUGAACCGCAUGGUUCAAAAGUGAAAGACGGUCUUGCUGUCACUUAUAGAUGGAUCCGCGCUGCAUUAGCUAGUCGGUAAGGUAACGGCUUACCAAGGCAACGAUGCAUAGCCGACCUGAGAGGGUGAUCGGCCACACUGGAACUGAGACACGGUCCAGACUCCUACGGGAGGCAGCAGUAGGGAAUCUUCCGCAAUGGGCGAAAGCCUGACGGAGCAACGCCGCGUGAGUGAUGAAGGUCUUCGGAUCGUAAAACUCUGUUAUUAGUGAAGAACAUAUGUGUAAGUAACUGUGCACAUCGUGACGGUACCUAAUCAGAAAGCCACGGCUAACUACGUG
rnacentral:rRNA from 1 species